CCAAACCUGACCCCCUAAAGGGAUCCAGGUGAGCCCUGGCCCCUCAUUUUGGGGGGACAGGUGAGCUCUGACCCCCCCCCCCAAAAAAAAAGGGAUGCAGGUGUGUUCAGGUGCCCCCAGGUGUGACCGGGAUGUGUCCCAAAUGCCCCUCCAGGUGUCCCAGGUGUGUCCAGGUGCCCCCCCAGCUAUCCCAGGUGUGUCCCAGGUGUGUCCCAGGUGUGUUCCCAGCUAUCCCAG